rnacentral:rRNA from 1 species
UGGGGAAUAUUGCACAAUGGGCGCAAGCCUGAUGCAGCAACGCCGCGUGAACGAUGAAGGUCUUCGGAUCGUAAAGUUCUGUUGCAGGGGAAGAUAAUGACGGUACCCUGUGAGGAAGCCCCGGCUAACUACGUGCCAGCAGCCGCGGUAAUACGUAGGGGGCUAGCGUUAUCCGGAUUUACUGGGCGUAAAGGGUGCGUAGGUGGUCUUUCAAGUCGGUGGUUAAAGGCUACGGCUCAACCGUAGUUAGCCUCCGAAACUGGAAGACUUGAGUGCAGGAGAGGAAAGUGGAAUUCCCAGUGUAGCGGCGAAAUGCGUAGAUAUUGGGAGGAACACCAGUAGCGAAGGCGGCUUUCUGGACUGCAACUGACACUGAGGCACGAAAGCGUGGGUAGCAAACAGG